rnacentral:lncRNA from 1 species
GCUCAAACAAGUUCUGACUGUGACCCUCAAAGGAAGGAAGUUACCAGCACAACAUGCGUUUGCAUCCAGAAAUUUCAAAAUCAGCAGAAGGUAAAGUUUACAGUUUUUUGUCCACUGCUUCUACCAAAACAUAUCUGUAGUAAACGCAGACAAACCUCUUCAGCUGUUGACUCUGCCAGCUCCUUAGAACAAACAUUUCUUCAAAUUUCAUGUGAACAUAAAAGUCUCACCAAUAAUGUUGAAAAGCAAGGAAUUUCCUUAGCAGUUUCUGCUCAUAGCACGGCAGAAUAUUUGAGACUGUAUUUUAUAACUUUACACAAUCCACAGACACACCAACUUUCUAGAAAAUGGUCAUCAUUUUAAUGCACAAUUAAUUUGAUUGUGAUUUUGAACUGCUGGUCAUCGGUCUCUCUACUGGUGUUACACAGGACACAUGCCUCCUGGUCUGUGAGUCCAUUUCACUCAUUACUCAUGCUUAGCAAAGACACGCAGCAGCUUCUGUUUCUGAGACAAAGCAGAAAUAAACUAUACUUGUAUGUAUUUUGUGAUGGAAGA